CAAAUAGCUGUGAGUCAUGGCUGAAAUGUCUGAAAAAAUCAGCUCUAAAAUCUCAGUUGGCUUUGAAGCAGGAACAAAAACAAAACAAGAAUCAAAUGGCACCAGGAAAAUCCACUUCCAAAAUAUGCUCCCAAGAGUGCUCAUCCUUGCAUCUGAAAUAUAACUUAUUAUAUCAGAUUAUCAUAUGUGUGAGUUUGAAUAGCAGAUUUUGUCAUUGCAAAAUAUCUGGUUAGAGCAACAUCAAGCUGUAAGGGUGUGAGUGUUUGAACUGAAACUAUGCUGGGCAGGAGAUACCUUUGGUAUCAUGGAUUCCUCCAUAAGGCUGUUGUGAUUUUCUGCAAACCUGAUUUUGUUCUGGCUAGUUGCCUAGAGAGCUGAUUCGGAGAACCACCCACCUCCCUGGAAGCGAAUCCACAGACUUGCGUGGAGGGAAAGGCGGCGGAGGCUGCACCUGCUCACGGUUCUUUUCCAUUGUCUCAGCGGGCAUCACUACUUUUUCCGAAUUCUGACCCUGAGAGCAGAGUGGAACUAGGGCAGAGAAGCCCAUCUGCCAUGGAUGAGGGCUGCUUGGGGAGCUCUGGAACGGAGGGCAAUGUCUGAACCAAACCCAGGAGGCUUCUCAGUCAAAGACAUGCUGAAUUUAUGCAAUCUGGAUGAAUCCUGAGUGUUACUGAAAUUUUGCUGGGGCUAUCAAAAUGUAAACCUUAGGCACUGCCUAAGAAUACUGUCCCUGGAAAUACAGACGUGACACAGAGAUGUUUAUGUUUAUCGAUUACCCCAUCAGAUAUGUAGGGUCUUUACCAAAUCAUUGUAAAAUUUCAAACUUUAUUAAUUCUUUUCUAUCAUACCACCUAGCCUCAAAUGGUAUUUAAAAGGCAGACUUAUUGAAGUUUAGAACACUUGCUUAUACAGCUGUGUGUUUGUAUUUCAGAUCUAUACAAACCACACAUGGCUUCCAUAAGACAGUGUCUAUUCUAUACCUAGCAGCACUAAUAUAUUCAGAAAUAGAGAGUUCACUGUGGUUCUUUUAAACAUUUGAAAUUAAAAGGUAAAGCUUCCCAAGGUUGUAUGAGCUCCCUUUUCUCUGACUGAGCUCAAGAACUAUAGUUAUCCUUAUGCUCAUAGACUCUACUUUUGCCUAAUUUCAGCCUGAUAGACAUCCCAUGGACUAGUCAUCUUUAGCUGUAUUCAUCUGGUUUUCCUUUCUUAUUUCAAAUGCAUUGUUGAAUGUUUCUGUCUGAGUUUACACACUGUGCCUGUCCUUAUAAUAUUAUUGAGAAGAUAUAAUUUCCUUCUCACCAUUCCAUCCUAAUUACCUUUUCUAUGAGGCCUUGGUCUUUAAAAACGCAAUAGCCUAGAGGCCUCUCUGUUCCUAAGGGUGGUGCUGGUAACAGAGUAAAUGUGCUCCUAAUAUAAUUUGCACACUUUUCUUUUUAAAAUGUCACAAAUGAUACAGGCCCAUGAUUAAAAUGAGAAAACAUGUAAGCAGAAAGAAAAACUACGUAUUUAUAUGAAAAUGUAUUUUUAAAAAUGCGUGUGUAUGAAAAAACACAAUGCAUUUCAUCACUUCUUAAUAUUUUCCUGCUUUAUAUAUCAUAAACAUGUACCUGUAUUCUAAUGGAUGCCUGAUUUUGCCUUGUAUGGAUGUAAUAAAAUAAAGUUUUUAUUA